UUGAAAUGCAGGUGCAGCUGGACAUUCUCCUGAGCUAAAAGCAUAUUUAUUUAGUCCCGUCAAACGGAUUAUUACUUUUGCUGCAGCUAAUAUAAAGGGAGUUUGACCGUUUUGGCUGACUGAUGCAGGAUUUCACAAGGUCGGUAACGAUUCUUGUAAAACUCGAUCUCAAAUCAAGUAAGACUACCCGCUGAACUUAG
rnacentral:misc_RNA from 1 species